AAAUUUAAAUGAUUAAUAUAUUUUUUAUAUAAUUAUAAAAAAUUUAUAAAAAUAAUUUAAAAAUUUAUUGUUUGAGUAUUAAGUAAAAAAAAAUUUAUAGAUUAAUAGUUUAAUAGUAUUGUGAAAGAAUUAUUUAAAUAUAAUAAAGAAUAAAUUUUUAGUACCUUUUGUAUCAGGGUUAAUUAAAAUUAUAAAUUUAUUUUUUAUUUCUCAAAAUUUAUAGAGUUAAUUUUAUUCUUAAUUUAUUGUGUUAAAAAUAUUUAUAAAAUAAUUUUUGUUUUGAAAUUUAAUUCGAUAUAUUAUAUUUAGUUAUUUAAGAUUUAAAUUUAAUUUAAAAUUUUAAAAGUUGAAUUAAUUUUAUUGAUAAAAAUUUAAAAUUUAAAUUAUUUUUAGGGGAAACCCUGGAAUUUUAAAAAAAAAUUUUUUUUUUUUUAAAAUUUAGAGGAAUAAGAAUUUUUUAUUUCAGUUUGGAAAAAUUAAUAUUAUUAAUUUUAAUUAAAAAUUUAAAAUAUUUUAAGGAUAAGCUUGAAAUUUAAAUAUAUUUUUUUAUUUUAAAUUUAAUAUUAAAUAGGAAUAGAAAUUUUUAUUUAUUUAAAGUUUGUAAAAAUUUAUUAUUUAUUUAAAUUUUACAUUGUAUUAAGUUUUAUUUAAUAUAGAAUCUGCUCAAUGAUUUAUUUAAAUAGCUGCAGUAUUUUGACUGUGCAAAGGUAGCAUAAUAAUUAGUCUUUUAAUUGGGGACUUGUAUGAAAGAUUUGAUGAAAAAUAAACUUUAUUAAUUAUAAAAUUAAAAUUUUAUUUUUAAGUAAAAAAGCUUAAAUAAUUUAAAGGGACGAUAAGACCCUAUAAAACUUUAUAAUUAAUUAAUUUUAUUUUUUUUGGUUUAAUUUUAUUUUAUAUAUUAUUUAUUUAUAAGUAAAAUUUGUUAAUUAUUUUAUUGGGGUGAUAAAAAAAAUUAAUAAACUUUUUUUAAAAAUUAACAUUAAUUAAUGAAUUAUUGAAUUAAAAUUUUUAAUUAAAGGAAAAAGUUACUUUAGGGAUAACAGCGUAAUUAAUUUUUUAAGUUCAAAUUUAAAAAUUAGUUUGCGACCUCGAUGUUGAAUUAAGAUUAAUCUUAGGUGCAAAAUUUUAAGUUUUAGGUCUGUUCGACCUUUAAAUUCUUACAUGAUUUGAGUUCAAACCGGUGUGAGCCAGGUUGGUUUCUAUCUUUUAAUAAUUAAUUUAUUUUAGUACGAAAGGAUUAAAUAAAUAAAUUAAAUUUUAUUUUUAUUUAUGAAUAAAAUUAAUUUA
rnacentral:rRNA from 1 species